UUCUUUUCUCUUCCUGCAAACUUGAGAGACAGCAGAUCCCUGCAGUUGGUCUCGCUUAUCUGGGAGUUGAGGCCUGCUCAGACUUGUUUGCCACAUGGGAGGUGGAGGGUGCUGGCCAUGCCUGGCGCGAUCCUGCUUUUCUUAAGGGAAGCGGUAUUGGGGUGGUUGAAGUCUCCCAUGAUGCUUCUUUCAGCUCUCUGCAGAAGGCCCCAUCAACCUCCUGUCUUCUUUUCAAGGCAGAAUUGCAGAAAAACACCUUAAGGCCUGGACCAGAAGAU